AUUGAACGCUAGCGGCAGGCCUAACACAUGCAAGUCGAGCGGAAGGGGCUUCGGCCCUGAGAGCGGCGGACGGGCGAGGAGAGCGUGGGAAUCUGCCUGUAGAUGGGGGAUAGCCCGGAGAAAUCCGGAUUAAUACCGCAUAAUACCUGAGGGUUAAAGUGGAGGAUCGCAAGACUUCACGUCUACAGAUGAGCCCACGUCAGAUUAGCUAGUUGGUAGGGUAAAGGCCUACCAAGGCGACGAUCUGUAGCUGGCCUGAGAGGGUGGCCAGCCACACUGGAACUGAGACACGGUCCAGACUCCUACGGGAGGCAGCAGUGGGGAAUAUUGGACAAUGGGCGCAAGCCUGAUCCAGCCAUGCCGCGUGUGUGAAGAAGGCCUUCGGGUUGUAAAGCACUUUAAGUUGGGAGGAAGGUUCCUUGGCUAAUAUCCAAGGGAAUUGACGUUACCGACAGAAUAAGCACCGGCUAAUUCCGUGCCAGCCGCCGCGGUAA
rnacentral:rRNA from 1 species